AAACCGCUCGCUUUUUACUUAUCAAAAUAUUAAUUAAAAGCGCGCAACUGUUUAUGCACUCGAGUUGUGAAACUACUUCUAGUCGGCAUUAUUUCGUUCAACAACGCGUGGUUAUUAAUAGAAAGGCACGCUUAUCAAAACUCAACAAAACAGUGUUUAAAAAUUAUCUAUGCAAACAUUCAAAUAUAAAUGUGGUCUGGAUUUUCGCUCUGCAGCUGCAAUAAAUUAAACAGUAUUUAAAAAAAGUCAAACGUCAAGCACAAUUCAAAAUCAACUUCAUACAACUAUCAAUUUUAAGGAAAACAGGUGAUAGUUUUACAAUUUAUGCAUAAAAACAUGGCAGUUACAACAAAAUAUAACUAAUAUUCCUUUAAAAUCUUGUUUAUUCACAACUCGAACAUACAACAAAAAAAGUUUACACAUUUUGGAGGAUAAAUGGCACAGUUUUCUUCAGUUUUCAUCUGUUUUUCUCUUUUUAAUGCCGCGGUUUUUGCCAUUCAGCCUGAGCCGUUUCACUGCCUUUUUUUGAGGAAAAGUACUUCCGGUAGCUUCGAUAUCCUCAUUGACAGUCGAAUAAUUUUCAGCUGGUCCAAUUGUCUUCUGCAUCUUUAUCCAUUCAACAGCACCUCGCAAAGCCAUUUCUAACGAGAAGAAAUCUGCUUUACCUUUGCCAAAGGUCCUUAUAAAAUCUAAAUAUGCUGCAGCAGGAGGAUUAAGUUCUGUUGAUCUGGCAUAAUUAACAGACUCAUUGGAGGAUUUUUCAGGUAGAGAUUUUUGGCCACACAUGAUUUGUGCAGUUUGAAUCAGUGUAUAAAAAGAAUUUAUAAAGGAAACGAGGAUUAAGUUUUGUUGCAACGAG